rnacentral:rRNA from 1 species
AACGAACGCUGGCGGCAUGCCUAACACAUGCAAGUCGAACGAGACCUUCGGGUCUAGUGGCGCACGGGUGCGUAACGCGUGGGAACCUGCCCGUAGGUUCGGAAUAACUCCCCGAAAGGGGUGCUAAUACCGGAUAAUGUCUUCGGGCCAAAGAUUUAUCGCGUUUGGGUGGGCCCGCGUUGGAUUAGCCAGUUGGUAGGGUAAAAGCCUAUCAAGGCGACGAUCCAUAGCUGGUCUGAGAGGAUGAUCAACCACACUGGGGCUGCGGCACGGCCCAGACUCCUACGGGAGGCAGCAGUGGGGAAUAUUAGACGAUGGGCGAUGACCUGAUCCAGCAAUGCCGCGUAAGUGAUGAAGGCCUUAGGGUUGUAAAGCUCUUUUACCCGAGAUGAUAAUGACAGUACCGGGAGAAUAAGCACCGGCUAACUCCGUG